rnacentral:rRNA from 1 species
AGAGUUUGAUCCUGGCUCAGGACGACGCUGGCGGCGUGCCUAAUACAUGCAAGUCGAGCGGACCGGAUUGGGGCUUGCCUUGAUUCGGUCAGCGGCGGACGGGUGAGUAACACGUGGGCAACCUGCCCGCAAGACCGGGAUAACUCCGGGAAACCGGAGCUAAUACCGGAUAACACCGAAGACCGCAUGGUCUUCGGUUGAAAGGCGGCCUUUGGGCUGUCACUUGCGGAUGGGCCCGCGGCGCAUUAGCUAGUUGGUGAGGUAACGGCUCACCAAGGCGACGAUGCGUAGCCGGCCUGAGAGGGUGACCGGCCACACUGGGACUGAGACACGGCCCAGACUCCUACGGGAGGCAGCAGUAGGGAAUCUUUCGCAAUGGGCGAAAGCCUGACGGAGCGACGCCGCGUGAGCGAAGAAGGCCUUCGGGUCGUAAAGCUCUGUUGUGAGGGACGAAGGAGUGCCGUUCGAAGAGGGCGGCGCGGUGACGGUACCUCACGAGAAAGCCCCGGCUAACUACGUG